rnacentral:rRNA from 1 species
GACGAACGCUGGCGGCGUGCUUAACACAUGCAAGUCGAACGCUGUAGCUCAGCUUUUGUUGGGUGGAUGAGUGGCGAACGGGUGAGUAACACGUGAGUAACCUGCCCCCUUCUUUGGGAUAACGCCCGGAAACGGGUGCUAAUACUGGAUAUUCACUGGUCUUCGCAUGGGGGUUGGUGGAAAGGGUUUUUCUGGUGGGGGAUGGGCUCGCGGCCUAUCAGCUUGUUGGUGGGGUGAUGGCCUACCAAGGCUUUGACGGGUAGCCGGCCUGAGAGGGUGACCGGUCACAUUGGGACUGAGAUACGGCCCAGACUCCUACGGGAGGCAGCAGUGGGGAAGAUUGCACAAUGGGCGCAAGCCUGAUGCAGCGACGCCGCGUGAGGGAUGGAGGCCUUCGGGUUGUGAACCUCUUUCGCUCAUGGUCAAGCCGCAACAAUGGUUGUGGUGAGGGUAGUGGGUAAAGAAGCGCCGGCUAACUACGUG